ACCUGGCUGGUUCAGGCGGUGGAACAUGUGACUCUUGAUCUCAGGAUCGUGAGUUCAAGCCCCACACUGGGUG
rnacentral:tRNA from 1 species